UACGUAGGUGGCGAGCGUUGUCCGGAAUUAUUGGGCGUAAAGCGCGCGCAGGCGGGAAAGUAAGUCUACUCUAAAAGUGCGGGGCUCAACCCCGUGAUGGGGUGGAAACUGCUUUUCUUGAGUGCCGGAGAGGAAAGUGGAAUUCCCAGUGUAGCGGUGAAAUGCGUAGAUAUUGGGAGGAACACCAGUGGCGAAGGCGACUUUCUGGACGGUGUCUGACGCUGAGGCGCGAAAGCCAGGGGAGCGAACGGG
rnacentral:rRNA from 1 species